rnacentral:rRNA from 1 species
UACGUAGGGUGCGAGCGUUGUCCGGAUUUAUUGGGCGUAAAGAGCUCGUAGGCGGUUUGUCGCGUCGGCCGUGAAAUCUCCACGCUUAACGUGGAGCGUGCGGUCGAUACGGGCAUCACUGGAGUUCGGCAGGGGAGACUGGAAUUCCUGGUGUAGCGGUGAAAUGCGCAGAUAUCAGGAGGAACACCGGUGGCGAAGGCGGGUCUCUGGGCCGAUACUGACGCUGAGGAGCGAAAGCGUGGGGAGCAAACAGG